AGGAAUCUGGCUGAGGGAACCCUGAAAGCUCCCUAUCCCAGCCUGUCUUUAAGCUUGCUGGUAGCCCCGACGCGCACUCGGGGCGUGAGCAGCCAGGCUCCAGGCACCUCGGGACCUGCGGCGUCCAUGCGUCUGCGGCUCUGCCAGCGUCCUGCCCUGGCCUGUGCGUCUGCCUGCAGCUGAGUGUCCCCGUGGUGCUAGGAAGGACAGUUCACUUGGUGGUGAGCUGAGCUGCUGACCAUUUCAUGAAAGCUGGACAAAGUACUUCAGACUGUCACCUAAACUGGAAACCAACGUAGCAAGGACAGAUUCGAGGAGCCACCACUACCAGUUUUCAGGCAUACAAGCUUCUGGAAAGGGUAAUCUGUGUUGGAAAAAACAAAUAUAAGUUCAACAAAUAUAGCAGCUACUGGGGAGGUACAGAAUUUUCUGUUCUGUCCAUAAUGUUAACAAGUCAAAAAAUGUGUACACUCGAUAAUACCAUUCGUUAGGUGGCUACUAAUGCAGAAAGCAUUUUUCUUUGGAACCUGGAAAACAGGACUUUUCAGGAUUAGAGAAAGAAAAGCUGAAAUGAUAUGUUUUCAAUAAGUUAGGAGAAGAUCUAACCACAUUUUAUUGCAGCAGAGACAAUUGUUUGGUGGACUAACUACUUUUGGAUUGUUAAUUACUGAGAAACUCAUGAAUUUUAAGGUUCUGGGUUGGCUCUAUACUUUUAUGAGUAUCUGGAU
rnacentral:lncRNA from 1 species